CUGGCAGGAGAAAACUACAUCUCCCAGAAUCCUUUCUGAGCACAUGCUCAAUCCAAGCGGGAAAGAGAGAGCGAGCGAGCGAGCGCGAGCGAACCCCAGGAAGAAAAAUGAGAAGCGAUUGAAUAUUUUUAUACUGUAUGCGCGCGGGUUUAAUCCGCAGUUUGCAGGCCUGAUCCUGGCUGGGUGUUGGAUCACUGCCCGCAAGGGACUCCGGAGAACGUGCAACUCACAAAGGGUUCAUCUUUCUCUUCAAACUUGAGAGCCAAACUUUUCUUAGAAUGUAGGGUCAUUUUGUUCCAAUCUGGAGGAGCGAUCAUGACGGACAGUGGCGUGGAUGUGAAGAGGGAUCCAGAUGUGGUGUUUGGCAUCCCCACAGAGUCUCUAGUGCCUCCCUCCAUGGAUUUGGAGGAUGAAAUUGAGGCUCCUGUUGAACCUGAAGAAGAUGCUUCCAUUAUCCAACAACUGCCCACCUCUCCUCGUGACAUCCUGGUCCUCCCGAAGCUUCCAGGUCUGGAUUCAGGUCUCUGCAGCCCUAAAGCAGAAGAGAUCCGGAUUGGUCUGGAUGGGGAUGAUGAGUCCAGAAGGUGCUUGGGACCACAAGACACCACUUCGUUGGAUCCUGAGGAUUCCAGGAAUACUAUGGAUGAGGGUGCCAAACCUUCAGCUCAGGAAGAGAACGUAUGCUGCACACCCAAACCCGACCAGGCCUUAGAGGUAAAGAGUAACCUCAAGAUCAAGGCCACUGUUGAACAUCUGAUGGAGUUAGAGGAGAAGGAUGUGGAAGAGGAAAUUCCAGAGGCUGACCAGGCUGCGUUUUUAGGGCUUUUUGCCCAACUGCAGAGACUUAACCCUGGCUUCCAUGACAAGUUACUCAGUUCUGAAGAGGACCUCUUGGCUGCCUCUGACAGCGAGGAAAGCCAUGGGUUAGGAGAUGGAGACAGCCGACCUCUCCUUGAGCAUGCUGAGUGCCAGGGACUUCCAGGCAAAUGUGCCCGUUGUCCGCUCCACAUUGCCACAGGGCAAGGCCUUCGGGCAGCCGCCCACCACCUCCUGAGGUCUGUCCAGGGACAGAGAAGCCGAGAAUUGCUUUCCUCGGAAGCCAACCAGGAGACCUUGCUCAGCCUCCUACAUUACGAAGGGGGUACUCCCAUGGAGGAGAAUGACCAGGUGCCCCUGGCCCACUCAGAUGCGAUGGCCAGGACUGGCUGUCAGAACACGGAGGUUGAAGGAAGCGCUGUGGCACCAGAGAAGGGGCCUCCAGGUCCUGCCUGUCAGGAUCUGGAAGAGAGAGGAAGAAAAGGGGCCAGGGCCAGGGCCAACCCAAGGCUCCUCAAAGAAUCCACUGGCCUGGAAGCAACUGGUUCCUCUGACUCCAGCUUGGAGGCUCACAGUUGGGAAAACUCCCCAGAUCCAAGUUGGAUAACGGUGGGGAAGCCUGGACUGAACCGCGUGGAGGAUUCUUCUCCCACCUCCGAUCCAGUGAAUAAAGCCAAUUUGUCAUCUUUCCCAGCUUACAAAGAUGUCCCAGGCCCCUGUGAGCCCGAAGAUCUAUUGGAGGGGGUGAUCUUUGGAGCCAAAUAUCUGGGUUCCACGCAGCUGGUGUCGGAGAGGAACCCUUCCAUCAGUGUCCGCAUGGCUCAAGCUCAGGAAGCCGUGGACAGGAUUAAGGCUCCCGAAGGAGAAUCCCAGCCAAUGACUGAAGUAGAUCUCUUUGUCUCCACUCAACGGAUCAAGGUCCUCAGCGCUGACUCACAGGAAGCCAUGAUGGAUCAUCACCUCCAGACCAUCUCCUACAUUGCCGACAUUGGGAAUAUUGUAGUGCUCAUGGCCCGUCGGAAGCUCCCUCGCCGGGCAGAUACUUCCACCGAAAAACAGCUGUACAAAAUGAUCUGCCACGUCUUCCACUCGCCCGACGCCCAGCUGAUAGCCCAAGCCAUCGGACAGGUCUUUAGCGUGGCUUACCAGCACUUCCUGCGGGCCAGUGGCAUUGACCCCAGCCAGCUUGGCGCCACGCAGGGCGAGAAUGAUGACGAGGAUCCUGCCCUGACCGAGGGGGAGGAGCUGUAUAAUGGAGACCUGGCUCACUUCUCCAAGCAAGAGAACUGUAAGGAAAUCAUCAUCUCCAAAGAGAAGGGUGAGAUCCUGGGCGUGGUGAUUGUGGAGUCUGGUUGGGGUUCCAUCCUUCCCACCGUGGUCGUUGCAAACCUGAUGCACAAGGGAGCCGCGGAGCGAUCCGGCAAGCUGAGCAUUGGAGACCGCAUCAUGUCCAUCAAUGGGACGAGCCUUGUGGGGCUGCCCCUGCCCUCAUGCCAGAGCAUUGUACGGGAUUUGAAAAACCAGACUGAAGUAACCCUCAGCAUUGUUCAUUGCCCCCCUGUCACUACAGCGAUUGUUCGAAGACCUGGCACAAAAUAUCCUCUGGGAUUCUGUGUGGAAAAUGGCAUUAUCUGUAGCCUCAUGCGUGGUGGGAUUGCAGAACGUGGUGGCGUCCGUGUGGGACAUCGCAUCAUUGAGAUCAAUGGGCAGAGCGUGGUGGCCAUGCCGCACGAGAAGAUCAUUCAGAUCCUUUCGCAAGCAGUCAGCGAGGUUCAUAUCAAAACCAUGCCAGCCUCCACCUAUCGUCUUUUAACUGGCCAGGAGCAACCAGUCUUCCUCUGAUGGGGCGGGUCUCGGCAACCCGGCUUCCUGCGGCUGCUUCACAAGCUUGCUGCACCCCCAAGAUCGGAAGCCAGCCUCGGAGCUCAGCGCCCCAGAUCCACAAGGGAGUGGACAGGGGCACGCCUGUUUCGACUGCCUGAAGCAUCCCAGCCAAGUUAGCUGUUUGUUUCCCUUGCUGGGAGAAUACAUGUGGGGUGUGGUUAUCCCUGGCUGGCUCAAGGUUACCUUCUGCACUAGGGCUUUGAGAAAGCAAGAGAUAUUGGAGAUUUAACCUGACACUGCUGUGCUGUGCUGUGUUGUACCUGAAGUGGUGGGGUUAGACUUAGCCCUUCAAGGGGUGAGCAAUGGUGCAGGGUGGGAAGAAGCCCUUGGUUUUAUUCAAGUCAUUUUUAAAAAAUUCCUGAAGAUCGCCAAGCAGGUGGAGAUGGGCUUUCCUGUUUCUCAAGGUGUUCUCUUUUACAGAGACUUCUUUUCGAAGGCAAGACAACAUGAGGGAAGUAUCAAAGCUUAGCAUUUGGUAAAUGCUCUUUGAAGUGGUUCAGUCCACAAUCAGGUUGCAGCAGUGUUGUGGUCAAGGCAAGGCAAAUUUAAAAGAUUCUGCCCAGCAGGAUUUGGGGGCAGGAGAAAAUCCCACCCAACUCUCCCUGGCUGUGUGGGAUCCCGCUUCCACCCCUGAAAUCCUCUUCUGCAGCAAUACAAGUCUGGCCUUUGCUGUUAGAAAUCAGAGCAAGCCCUCCCGGGGUGACUUCAACACCCUGCUGACAAUUCUGUGAGUUGCCGUGGAGUUACUGCAUACAUUUUGUUUCUUAAACUACUCCUACAAACUUAUAAAAUUAUUAUUUCCCAUAGCAGAUCGCGGAGAGAGAGAAAGUGAAAUUACGAAUGCUCUUUUUUUAUAGAUAGUAAUUAUUCUCUGCACACCAAAAAUGAGGGAAAUGAACAUUACUUGCGGUCUUUUUUAAAGCAUCUUCCCGCUCGCACUUGAGUGCUUGUAAGAGUUGGCUGCUUUCAAACAAGACAAUCCGCGCGAAGCAGCCUGGACUGCUCAGAGAGAAGUUUGAACUUGCUUUGUAAACGUUAAAAGUAACAUAGCAGGAUUGCAAACUUCUCCCCAAAAGCUUUCACAAAUGACUAGGAAGGCUUAGAAACUGCAUUAAAGUCUGGUUUGUUUUACCAUGUACGCCAGUGUUGAGAAACACUGACAUAUGCUAAGCCCAGGUCAGCAACAUUUAUGUACUGACUCCCAGCUCCAAAAGAAAAUAACAUCCACAAUGUUGUGUUUUCAUUUUUAUCCAAGCUUCCUUGUGAGAUUUGGGUGAUUUUCAAGAAUUCUGCUUUUUUUCUGGGACCAUAUCUCGAGGUCUGGCAGGCUGCUGACCUCUGUGUUAAACAACAAACCAUGAUUGGAAACCACAGUGGCUGAGUUCACACACCACACUGUGCUGAACUAAGGCGAACGUCUUAGCGUGGCAAUGGCCCUGUAUUGUUGGAACCCUUCACUCUAUCCAUGAUGUUAUUUCAGACUCCUGAUAAUAUAAUAAUAAAGAAAAAUGGAAGACUUGUUUCCUUUCCUGGCUUAAAACCUCUGAGUAAAAACCUCUGAAUCCCUGAUGCAAUUUCUAUAGGUCUUGCACGUACAGGAAUUGUGAGAAGGGUAACUGUUUUGAAAUGCUCAUUUGCAAUGGGUUUUGCAACAUGCCUCACUUCUCAAGGCUGCUUAUUUCAAAACCAAGAGAACGUGCUGGAUCUCAUAACAGCAGUAAAACAAAAAAACCCCACCGUUUUGACCGUUAUCUGUGCAUCUCUGUUCAUGCCCAAGGAUUUAAAAGGGUGAAUUGGGAAGUUUCGCACCAUUCACAGGCAAUUCUGGAAUAACUACCCCUAUUAAAUUUGAGAUAUUUUUUCAGAGCUGUGAUAGCAGCAACAUUUAUCCAUGGAGUAACGUGGCAUCUGGUGAGCCAGCAAGAGUCACAGAACUGGAGAGAGACUUGGAAUGUAACUGCAUUCUCAUGACAAUAAAGAAAAUGCUUUAAACAGAGCCAGCAUUCUAGUCAAAUUCUAGAAACUCUGGUGGGGCAAGUAGCAAAGAGAUUUGAAUACCAUAAUUAAGUUGGCUGAAGGGGUAAUAGUACUUAGAAACUGUAUCUGUUGAUGCAACCUAAAAUUGCAUUUAACUUUUUUGCAGCCACAUCACACACUUAUAUCCUCCUUGCAUUCAACUACUACUCCGAGAUCUUUUUCACAAGUCCUCUUACCUAGCCAAGUAUCCUCUAUUCUGUUUUUGUGCAUUAAAUGUUUUUAAAUUGCUCUUUGUUUAGGAAAAAAAAAGUUUCCUAAGCAAAGAACUUUGCAUUUGUUUUUGUUAGAGUUCAUUCUUUUACUUUCAGCUCAUGCUUCCCAUCUAUCAGGACUGUUAAAAUUUUGUUUCAAUCCUUUGGGAUAGUACCUAUCCCUAUUUAUAUCUCUCUUUUACACUACUUGUGUGGUGAUGUAAUGAUACGUACAUCAUCAUGCUUGUACUGGACGCAUAUGACACUGACCACAGUAAAUCGAGACAGAAUCCUGCUACAAACGUACCAGCAAGGUUCACAUUCACACAACACAGAGAGUGAAAUCUAAAACCCUUAAUAUGAUUUGCAUGUUAUGAGAAUUGGAUACCAGUCUAGUAAUGAUUUUUAGGCAAUGGCUAAAAUGUUUUUUAAAUCUGCUGCUUGCAUAGAGAUCUCCCGACAAGGAGUAAGCAAGCCUGUCAGGGAAUGGGAUACAAAGAACAACUCUGAUUUUAAAAACCUGGUUAAAGAAGCAUUUAAAAACCAACUCCCACAUCCCAAUGUUUGGAAAUAGGAUUAUUCCCUUUGUUCUGCCAUGGUGCAUAAAUUGGCAAUAAACUCAGCUACUUGCUGCAUUUUCCCAAGGACACUGCAAAGCAUGUUUGUGAUACAAUAAAAAAUCACUUUCUGAUAUUUUUAUGAAUUGAAUCAUUUCCCAAUCUUAGUUCAAAUUAACUAGAAAAGGGUGACAGUCACUAUUUCUCUGUUUGGAGAAAGAGAAAGGCUGGAUUUGCUCAAUACGCUAGGUUAGGGAUUUCCAAGCAGUGAGUUGAACAAAUGAGGAAUGGGAGUGGGUCAAAGUUUUUUUAACCUGAUUAGGCCUGAAAAAGGAAGUGGGGAGAAGACCUGCCAAAUUUGCUCUGAACUGUGCUGUAUUGCAAACGUCUGUCAUCCAUGCAUUAAAACAUAACUAUUAAGAGAACUAUAUUUCUUGCCCAUCCCUAGCCCCAGUGAAAUAAUUCGUUUUAUUCAUGAUUUGUUCAUUUUUGUUCAUGGGGUAUUGAUAUCUGCAGGGAGGGUCAAAAAAGUCAAGAGCAGCAUGAUUGACGCUUGAUCCUUUCGUGCUGCCGGGAUCAGCUUGACCCUUCCCCCUGUGGAUCCUGCCAUCAUGGAUGGAUGACAUGUGCUAGAUUGACAUGUGAUUGGUUCAUUGCAAAUAUUCUGCCAAUUUAACCCUUGAGAUUAAUUGGCAGUUCAGGGUGUUAAACAAAUCCAGGCACUUUGAUUAAUUCAGCAAACCACAGUUGGGUUGAUUACAUCUUUGCAUAUUGUAGCAUGGCACUGUUAUUUUGGGCCACUGCAAAUCCCAUUCUUUAUUUGUG